AGGAAAAAUACUGGAGCACUGUUCUGCUUCUUUACACUUAAUUAUGACUUAAUACUGCUCUUAUUUUUAAUUAUAUAUGGAAGCGGCAUCACUGUAAUUUUUUUAGUGCUUAGGUCCUCUAAAAUCUUAAGUCAAUCCCGAUGUGACUCUUACAUGUUCAUGAAGUGGCCCAUAUGUGCCAGAUGAUUCUACGUUCUGAGCUUCAUCAGUACAGGAACCCUAUGCCCUACUGCCUUUCUAGCCUCAGUACCCAGAACAAUAUGGGGCACGCAGCAAGUACACAAUAGAGACUCUUAUUAAGUCUCUAUAACAGAAAGUCACUAUUUCUUUUAUUAGCAAUUCCAGUGAAUGUUGCUAUUAAGGCAGCUCAGUUUAACUGAUGAAACCACUAAAUGCCUAAGGUGCUAUAGCUCUUGCCCUUUAUCCAGUAGGGGAGAGAAAUAAAUGUGUUUGAAAUCAUUAGUGCAGGCCAGGAAUGGUAUUGGGUGCUUUGCAUACGUCAAUUCUCUCUUUAAUCUUCUUAUCAAACCCUGAAGUCUGCAUCAGCUCCAUUUUACAUAGAAAGAACCCAAAGCUUAGAUAGGUUAAGCAAUCUGACAAAAGUCAUUCAACAAUAAAUGAAAUAGUGGAGCAUUAGACCAAGGUCAGCCUGACCCCUGAACUACUGCUCUUCAUUACACAUGUUGCCAGACCACUUAAAGUUCAAUAGGCUGAUCACUGGUGUCCAAAAACGAAGACAGAUAUGUGUCGAAAGUAGCCCAGCAAAUUACUAUCAAGUCGUGCUCAGCAUUUAAAAAAAAAAAAAAUUAAGGAAACUACAGAUGGGAGUGAAGUAGGGGGAAUUUUCUGACAGUUUUAGGUCACUAGGUAGCAAUUCCUGGAUCUACAAGUCUUAGAAAACUCCUGGUCCUUAGGACUCUAAGCCCUUAAUUAGAGUUUUGAGAAGAUCUGGAUUUGGGAUAGAGCUAAGGGCAUAAGCCUAAGGGAAGUUUCGUAGGACUUGGAUUUUGCCCCACAUUUUCUGAGCUGUGAAGGUGGAGUGGGGUGAGGAAGUAGUGAGAGUCCCUAAGAAAUGGUACAACAAUGCUGACAAAGGAAAGAGAAAACGGAGGAAACAUUCCUCAUUCUCUUUUCUUGUACCUCAAACACUGGCUCAGUUCUAGACCAUUUUCAGGAAAUCCUGGAGUUCUCACAAUAAAUCAAACUGUAGCAAUACCCAGAGAAGCUGGAGAACAAAGUCUACGGGUUGUAGGAGAGGAAGGAAGCUGGGAAUUGAAGCAGUCUCUCCUUUCUACCUGUUGGACAUCUGUAUUUCUAGGUGGCAUUAAACUAACCAACUCUUCUUCCUAACAACAGAAAGAAAAGAGUUUGAACUAGAAGGGGAGGAGGUAUUUGCUGCAUACAUGAAGAACUGUCUUAAAUGGAAGGCAGAGGCAUGGAUCCUGUGAAGUCUUUUGAAAUAGAAGCCAUAAUUACCCAUCCCAUCAGCAUGAGGUAGAGCUAACGUACAGGGAGUCUACCUUUUCAUUGGCUCCAUUUGUAAUAGAAAAGCGAAAGUUAUUCCCCAGUUCUAUAAGGCUGAGUCCAGGUCGUACAGAAUAAUGAAAUGGGAAAGCUCAGAGACCCUAACGUUAGACAAUGAAACAAGCAACUCACAGACCUCUGGACAUGCCAUGAAAUGGGAAAAUGCGCUUUUUACUUCCUCCACAGCACAUGGAAUUUUGAAGACCAAGGAGAGACAGGAGAAUGGGUCAUUGUAGGGGUUGAUGGGCCAGCUUUAUUCUAAAUGACUGAAGACUUCUGUUCUUUUCAACAAACACAGUCCUCCAAUUAGGAGCUGCAAAUAAGAUUAUAUGCCCUGAAUAAGUCUGAAAAGGUCCUUUUAUAAUUAGAAAGUUUGUGUGUGGGAAGUGGAAGCAGCAUGAAGUGCUCACUGUGGCUUUAUUAGAAGAGUGACAUGAAGAUUUUCCCAAAUCCUCAUCUGAGUGCUCAAAAAUGAUAAAAUACAAAUUAUGAAAAACUG